UGGAAACUGUNUGACUUGAGUGCAGAAGGGGAGAGUGGAAUUCCAUGUGUAGCGGUGAANUGCGUAGAUAUAUGGAGGAACACCAGUGGCGAAAGCGGCUCUCUGGUCUGUCACUGACGCUGAGGCUCGAAAGCGUGGGUAGCGAACAGGAUUAGAUACCCUGGUAGUNCACGCCGUAAACGAUGAGUGCUAGGUGUUAGGCCCUUUCCGGGGCUUAGUGCCGGAGCUAACGCAAUAAGCACUCCGCCUGGGGAGUACGACCGCAAGGUUGAAACUCAAAGGAAUUGGCGGGGGCCCGCACAAGCGGUGGAGCAUGUGGUUUAAUUCGAAGCAACGCGAAGAACCUUACCAGGUCUUGACAUCCCGAUGCUAUUCUUAGAGAUAGGAAGUUACUUCGGUACAUCGGAGACAGGUGGUGCAUGGUUGUCGUCAGCUCGUGUCGUGAGAUGUUGGGUUAAGUCCCGCAACGAGCGCAACCCUUAUUGUUAGGUGUCAUCAUUAAGUUGGGCACUCUAGCGAGACUGCCGGUAAUAAACCGGAGGAAGGUGGGGAUGACGUCAAAUCAUCAUGCCCCUUAUGACCUGGGCUACACACGUGCUACAAUGGUCGGUACAACGAGUUGCGAGCCGGUGACGGCAAGCUAAUCUCUGAAAGCCGAUCUCAGUUCGGAUUGGAGGCUGCAACUCGCCUCCAUGAAGUCGGAAUCGCUAGUAAUCGCGGAUCAGCACGCCGCGGUGAAUACGUUCCCGGGCCUUGUACACACCGCCCGUCACACCACGAGAGUUUGUAACACCCGAAG
rnacentral:rRNA from 1 species